rnacentral:rRNA from 1 species
GAUGAACGCUGGCGGCGUGCCUAAUACAUGCAAGUCGAGCGAACAGACGAGGAGCUUGCUCCUUUGACGUUAGCGGCGGACGGGUGAGUAACACGUAGGUACCCUACCUAUAAGACUGGGAUAACUUCGGGAAACCGGAGCUAAUACCGGAUAAUAUUUCGAACCGCAUGGUUCGAUAGUGAAAGAUGGCUUUGCUAUCACUUAUACAUGGACCUGCGCCGUAUUAGCUAGUUGGUAAGGUAACGGCUUACCAAGGCAACGAUACGUAGCCGACCUGAGAGGGUGAUCGGCCACACUGGAACUGAGACACGGUCCAGACUCCUACGGGAGGCAGCAGUAGGGAAUCUUCCGCAAUGGGCGAAAGCCUGACGGAGCAACGCCGCGUGAGUGAUGAAGGUCUUCGGAUCGUAAAACUCUGUUAUUAGGGAAGAACAAACGUGUAAGUAACUGUGCACGUCUUGACGGUACCUAAUCAGAAAGCCACGGCUAACUACGUG